CCUGUCAUGGUUUUAUGAUUUUUGGUUAUCAGUAUUCCACAUCACAACAUCAUGCAGUGUACUGGGAGUUAAGGAGCAAAUGCUUUAGUUCCGGGUACCUGUCUGGAAGAGAAGAAGAACUACAGAAGAAGUUCCCCAAGAGCCUUUUCGAGUACUGUUAUCAUUCCUGCUCAAGGGAACAGAUAUAAGGGCGCAGGUCAUCUGACUUGCCUCUCUUCUCGUCUCGCCGUGUUCCCUGUCGGAUCAGCUCGCUACUGCUGCGCCCGACUGCACGCAAGGCUUCAGUAUUAGCGUAAGGCCUUUGGCUCUCAGACAAUCUUUCUCUCAAUUAUUGUUGAUUUAUAUUGUAUUAUAGUGUAAAGAGGAGGAGGGUGUAGUAGAGGAAGCAGUCAAUGUAAGAGAAGAGCAGGAGGGUGAAGUAGAAGAAGCAGGCGAUGUAAGAGAAGAGGAGGAAAGAGGUCCAGUGGAGAGGCUCCAAGGAACUGGAGUGCCCAUGCCUUCAAUAAGACUGCAUGCACAAACACCAAGGAGGGCAGGAAGUCCUGAAAGAGCAGGAGGUGAGCAAGACAUCGUAACCAUUGUGGAUAGAUCUUUGAAAAUGAAUGAAAUUCAUGGUCUGAGAAAGGACUUCACAUGCCACCCCAAUGAGCCUAUUGUCACCUGGUUAUUUCGAUGCUGGGACAAUGGGGCCAACAGUGUGUGGCUAGAUAGCAGAGAAGCUCGUCAGCUUGGUGGCAUUGCUAGGGACUCAGCCAUUGACAGACGUAUUAGCACAUGCCAGAC
ensembl:lncRNA